CUCAGCGCCUGCCAGCAGGAUCUUCCUGUGUGCACGGGGCCGGGGGUUGCUGACUCAGUGCUGAGGAGGGCACCUUGUCAGCGCUCCUGGGCUCCCAGCUCCUCCUGCCUCCCCUUCGUCCCCAGAGGACACCAAAGGGAAGCAGGCAGUGGGGGGAGCUUCUCAGCGUGUCCAGUUUCACUUCUAAACCAGCAUCCAGCCUCCUCGAGUUACCACUCUGACCACGUACAUCUGUUAGUCUUCCGGGCACUUUGGCGAGGAAGCCAUCAGGAACAGUCACACAGGCAUCAUGCUUCACGUACCCAAUUAACACGUGUUUAGCCAGCACCUACUAUGCAUCCAGGACUGGGAUCCAGAGAGAUGUGACUGUAUCUACCCACAACUUUCAGAGGUCUGGCGGGGGAAAAGCCCUCGCAGUCCCGCAGGAAGUAAUGGAGAGAGUGCUGCAGCAGGGCUGUGGAGAGCCGGGGCCGCUGAGCAGCAAGCGGCAGCAGGCUCAGUGUCCCCGAAACUGCAAAUGAACUGCUGGCGCUCUCCUCCUUCACGUGAGAAGGAGAAGGAGAAAAGACAGAUCACAUGCUGCCGGAUGAAAAUUAAAGAAGUGAGGACACCAACAUGGCAUCUACUACGUACCAAACCUUUACAUGCCAAAGAGGGAAGUGGAGAAAUCAAUGAAGGCUCCUGAAGGACGUGUCAGCUCCACCUGAAAACAGGAUGAGUUGAGCAACGGAACUCCUGAUCCUUGUUCCUGACUGUGAAGGCCCAGAGGAUCUCGGGAGCCUCACAACACAGUGGAUUUUCAGUCAGGAGCUUUUUAACUGGCCCGCCUACCAAAGGAAUGGUUUUGUAUAGCCCGGUUAACUUUCC
rnacentral:lncRNA from 1 species